rnacentral:rRNA from 1 species
GGCGGCGUGCCUAACACAUGCAAGUCGAGCGAUUACUUCGGUAAAGAGCGGCGGACGGGUGAGUAACGCGUGGGUAACCUGCCUCAUACACAUGGAUAACAUACCGAAAGGUAUGCUAAUACAGGAUAAUAUAAGAGAUUCACAUGGAUUUUUUAUCAAAGCUCCGGCGGUAUGAGAUGGACCCGCGUCUGAUUAGCUAGUUGGUAAGGUAAUGGCUUACCAAGGCGACGAUCAGUAGCCGACCUGAGAGGGUGAUCGGCCACAUUGGAACUGAGACACGGUCCAAACUCCUACGGGAGGCAGCAGUGGGGAAUAUUGCACAAUGGGCGAAAGCCUGAUGCAAGCAACGCCGCGUGAGUGAUGAAGGCCUUCGGGUCGUAAAACUCUGUCCUCAAGGAAGAUAAUGACGGUACUUGAGGAGGAAGCCCCGGCUAACUACGUGCCAGCAGCUGC